ensembl:lncRNA
CACGAAUUGAGCUCGGGGGGUUCAUAUUUGGCCCAUAAAAGAAGUGGCGAUGGAGAAGGGUCGGAUUCAGUGCUGGAGAUUUACCACAUGACGGCGAUUAACCAGCGUACUUAUACUCAAAAGAAGCGAAGCAGCCAUCAAUGCUGAGUGUAUGAAGAUGUUCUGUAGGAGAUGUAAAGUGAGAGGUGUUGCUUCUUUGAAAAAAAAAAGGCCAGCACAAGCGAGGCAUUGUGGGCCAGAGGAGAGACAGCCGCUAUCCCCACAUCUCUCUGUCCCUCCCUUCACCGCCUGCCACAGCUGUGCAUGAACAAGAUCAGGGCCAGAGGACAACAUAUCAGUGUGGAGACUGUCGAGGGCUCAUCAGAGGUCCCCCUUGUGCCACCAAAACAGCUCUGACCUUUCGAGUCAUGGACUCCACAAGACGUCUGAAGGUGUGCUGUGGUAUCUGUCACCGAGACAUAAGCAGCAGAUCCUUUAAGUCCUAUAAAUUGCGAGGUGGGUCCUCCAUGGAUCGGACUUGUUUGUCCGGCACAAUCCUACAGACGUUCGAUCGGAUUGAGAUCUGGGGAAUUUACAGACCAAGUCAACACCUUGAACUCUAUGUCAUGUUCCUUCAACCACUCCUGAAGAAUUUUUGUAGCGUUGCACGGCGCAUUAUCCUGCUGAAAGAGGUCACUACCAUUAAAGAAUACCGUUACCAUGAAGAGGUGUACUUGGUCUGCACCAGUGUUUAGCUGCAAAGCCCUUUCAGCAUGGGAUUGAGAGCACGGUGCCACCUGUGUCGACAGGGAACAUCGAAACUAAUCUGGUUGUAUACAAAAAGAGUUCAGGGUGCUCUUACAAAUAAAUCUACUGAC